rnacentral:rRNA from 1 species
GACGAACCGUCCUAACGUUGUUCGGAAUCACUGGGCUUAAGGGCGCGUAGGCGGGUUCCCAAGUCGGUGGUGAAAUCUUUCGGCCCAACCGGAAAACAGCCGCCGAUACUGGGAGUCUUGAGGGAGGUAGGGUCGAUGGAACUUCCGGUGGAGCGGUGAAAUGCGUAGAUAUCGGAAGGAACGCCGGUGGCGAAAGCGAUCGACUGGACCUUUCUGACGCUGAGGCGCGAAAGCCAGGGAGCAAACGGG